rnacentral:rRNA from 1 species
UACAGGGGGGGCAAGCGUUGUUCGGAAUUACUGGGCGUAAAGGGUCUGUAGGUGGCCAACUAAGUCAGACGUGAAAUCUUUCAGCUUAACUGGAAAAGUGCCUCCGAUACUGACUGUCUCGAGGGAGGUAGGGGCAUGUGGAACUUCCGGUGGAGCGGUGAAGUGCGUAGAUAUCGGAAGGAACGCCGGUGGCGAAAGCGACGUGCUGGACCUCUUCUGACGCUGAGGCGCGAAAGCUAGGGGAGCAAACGGG